rnacentral:rRNA from 1 species
GACGAACGCUGGCGGCGUGCUUAACACAUGCAAGUCGAACGGAAAGGCCCUGCUUUUGUGGUGUGCUCGAGCGGCGAACGGGUGAGUAACACGUGAGUAACCUGCCCUUGACUUUGGGAUAACUUCAGGAAACUGGGGCUAAUACCGGAUAGGAGCUCCUGCUGCAUGGUGGGGGUUGGAAAGUUUCGGCGGUUGGGGAUGGACUCGCGGCUUAUCAGCUUGUUGGUGGGGUAGUGGCUUACCAAGGCUUUGACGGGUAGCCGGCCUGAGAGGGUGACCGGCCACAUUGGGACUGAGAUACGGCCCAGACUCCUACGGGAGGCAGCAGUGGGGAAUAUUGCACAAUGGGCGGAAGCCUGAUGCAGCAACGCCGCGUGCGGGAUGACGGCCUUCGGGUUGUAAACCGCUUUCGCCUGUGACGAAGCGUGAGUGACGGUAAUGGGUAAAGAAGCACCGGCUAACUACGUG